UACGGAGGGUGCAAGCGUUGUCCGGAUUUAUUGGGUUUAAAGGGUGCGUAGGCGGCUAAUUAAGUCAGUGGUGAAAUACAGCAGCUCAACUGUUGAGGUGCCAUUGAUACUGAAUAGCUUGAGUACAGAUGAGGUAGGCGGAAUUUAUGGUGUAGCGGUGAAAUGCAUAGAUACCAUAAAGAACACCGAUUGCGAAGGCAGCUUACUAAGCUGUAACUGACGCUGAGGCAGCGAAAAGCGUGGGGGAAGCGAACAGGG
rnacentral:rRNA from 1 species